rnacentral:tRNA from 2 species
GGAGGGAUGCCAGAGCGGUCGAAUGGGCCACCCUGGAAAGGUGGUAUAUCCGAAAGGGUAUCGCGAGUUCGAAUCUCGCUCCCUCCGCCA